rnacentral:rRNA from 1 species
AGUGAACGCUGGCGGCAUGCCUAACACAUGCAAGUCGAACGGCAGCACAGUAAGUGCUUGCUGUUACCGGUUGCGAGUCGGGUACGGGAGAGGAAUAAAUCGGACUCUACUUUUUCGUGGGGGCUAACGAAGCGGAACUUAUGCUAAUACCGCAUACGACCUACGGGUGAAAGCAGGGGAUGUUCGGCCCUGUCGCGAUUGAAUGAGCCGAUGUAGGAUUAGCUAGUUGGGGGGGUAAAGGCCCACCAAGGCGACGAUCCGUAGCUGGUCUGAGAGGAGGAGCAGCCACACUGGAACUGAGACACGGCCCAGACUCCUACGGGAGGCAGCAGUGGGGAAUUUUGGACAAUGGGCGCAAGCCUGAUCCAGCCAUGCCGCGUGUGUGAAGAAGGCCUUCGGGUUGUAAAGCCCUUUUGUUGGGAAAGAAAAGCUUGCGCCUAAUACGCCGCGGGUCUGACGGUACCCGAAGAAUAAGCACCGGCUAACUACGUG